rnacentral:rRNA from 1 species
GGGGUAACGGCCUACCAAGUCGACGAUCGGUAGCCGGACUGAGAGGUCGAACGGCCACAUUGGGACUGAGACACGGCCCAGACUCCUACGGGAGGCAGCAGUGGGGGAUAUUGCACAAUGGGGGAAACCCUGAUGCAGCGACGCCGCGUGAGGGAAGACGGUCCUCUGGAUUGUAAACCUCUGUCUUCGGGGACGAAACGAGACGGUACCCGAGGAGGAAGCCACGGCUAACUACGUGCCAGCAGCCGCGGUAAUACGUAGGUGGCAAGCGUUGUCCGGAAUUACUGGGUGUAAAGGGAGCGUAGGCGGGCAGGCAAGUCAGGCGUGAAAUAUAUCGGCUCAACCGGUAACGGCGCUUGA